AAACUACUCCGUCCGUCCGGAAAUACUUGUCGGAGCAAUGGAUGUAUCUAGAUAUAUUUUAGUUCUAGAUACAUCCAUUUUUAUGCAUUUCUACGACAAGUAUUUUGGGACGGAGGGAGUAUUUA
rfam:Triticum aestivum genome assembly, contig: Triticum_aestivum_CS42_TGACv1_scaffold_578622_7BL